GGGAAACUAUUAACCGAUAAACCCAAAAACCUCACACCAGCAAACAUUUAGUAGUCCGUUAGCUAACACACGAUUUUAUCAGCCAACUUUACCACUUUCCUCCUCUUCAUUGAAAUGAAAGAGCUGGCUUUGUUUAAAAUACAAUAAAUUGUCAAGGGGUUUCCAUUAUACUAAGGAGUUUCAGACAUUUAGUGAAAUCAUACAUCAGGGUAUCUUAAAUGCGAUCAUAUAUAUAGUUCCACAGACCGCUUUUCCAGUUGAAGAUCGAGGCUGUCCAUCGGAUUAGUAGUGGAGUAGGUUAUAAACGUAGUUUUCUAAACGACUUAGUCACCAGUUUGGGUCGUGUCAAUGCGAUUGGCAUUUAACGAGCUUCAUGGCUUGUAGGGCUAACAUUUUGGCAUAAGAUUUUUACCAGCACAUAUAUCUGUGUCGCCCAUCUCUACUCUGCGCCCAACUAUCCCCGACUAUCUAUCUAACUAUUGUGAGUACUUGUCAUUUAGCUUACUAUUUACUGUCACGCUUUUGAGUGCCCCUCGAAUGGAAAUGGGAAUGGAAAUGGAAAUGGAAAUGGGUCUGCGGCCGAAGGGGCUUGGCUAACUGGGAAGGGCCGUCCGAGAGAUAUCCAUUCGGGAGUGUAGGGAACUUCAGAGUUUCAGAGGACCGAGUCAGUCGACUGACCCGCGAUAAAGCCAGUUGUUUAGCCAGUGAAUCAGCGAGUGAAAAAAAACGCUUAUCAAUCAGUUUCUAGCUAGUAAAUCAAAUUGUUGCAGUCGGGCAGGAAGCCUCGUCUUGACUUGGCCAAGAGGAAACUGGCGAUUAUAGUUCGUAAGCCCGUAGAUGCGAGUAUGUGACUUUCUGGAGCCAAGUCGUAUUUUUUUUCUUUGCAGAAAUAAGAGAGGCAGCCGGAAGAACUUCAUUGCUUGUCAUCUGCUAGGAGUCUGUUUUUCUUACUCCACCCUUUUGCUUUUCCUACAGGUACAUUUUUUUCUACUUUGCUGAUUAAUCGUAUGUGCAUAUAAUUAAUUAAAUUUUUAGUUCUACAAAACAAAAGAUCACAGGUAUUUUAUUCUGACAUAAUAAUUUGAAUAAAAUGUGGCUUUAAGAAUUUCCUAAUAAUUAUUUUUAUUAUAUAUUUUUUUGUUUGUCAAUAAUUUCCUAAAUAUUACUCUGAAUGCAAAACACUUUUCCCUGCAUAAUAAGAAUUUUUUCUUUACCAAAUUUGUACUAAAUAUCC